rnacentral:rRNA from 1 species
UACGUAGGUGACCAGCGUUGUCCGGAUUUACUGGGCGUAAAGAGCGCGCAGGCGGUCGUUCAAGUCGCGUGUGAAAGCCCCCGGCUCAACUGGGGAGGGUCACGCGAUACUGAUCGACUCGAAGGCAGGAGAGGGUAGUGGAAUUCCCGGUGUAGUGGUGAAAUGCGUAGAUAUCGGGAGGAACACCAGUGGCGAAGGCAGCUCACUGGGACGGUACUGACGCUGAGACGCGAAAGCGUGGGGAGCGAACAGG